GGCAGAGUAACUGUUGUCGGCGUGACGGUAUCCAACCAGAAAGCCACGGCUAACUACGUGCCAGCAGCCGCGGUAAUACGUAGGUGGCAAGCGUUAUCCGGAUUUAUUGGGCGUAAAGCGAGCGCAGGCGGUUUUUUAAGUCUGAUGUGAAAGCCCUCGGCUUAACCGAGGAAGCGCAUCGGAAACUGGGAAACUUGAGUGCAGAAGAGGACAGUGGAACUCCAUGUGUAGCGGUGAAAUGCGUAGAUAUAUGGAAGAACACCAGUGGCGAAGGCGGCUGUCUGGUCUGUAACUGACGCUGAGGCUCGAAAGCAUGGGUAGCGAACAGGAUUAGAUACCCUGGUAGUCCAUGCCGUAAACGAUGAAUGCUAGGUGUUGGAGGGUUUCCGCCCUUCAGUGCCGCAGCUAACGCAUUAAGCAUUCCGCCUGGGGAGUACGACCGCAAGGUUGAAACUCAAAGGAAUUGACGGGGGCCCGCACAAGCGGUGGAGCAUGUGGUUUAAUUCGAAGCAACGCGAAGAACCUUACCAGGUCUUGACAUCUUUUGAUCACCUGAGAGAUCAGG
rnacentral:rRNA from 2 species